GUCCUGAUGGAGUAACAAAAAUGCAACUUAGAAACAUGAAACAAGGUGUUCUGAUGGAAUAACAAAAAUGCAACUUAGAAACCUGAAACAAGGUGUUCUGAUGGAGUAACAAAAAUGCAACUUAGAAACAUGAAACAAGGGGUCCUGACGGAGUAACAAAAAUGCAAUUUAGACACACAAACCCAGCUGCUCUGACGGAGUAACAAACCUGCCUCAGUGGGCCCUGAGCAGGGACGAGCUGCUUUUCAACACCAGAGGGCACAAUCUGCUGCAAAGCCUCCUGUCCCUGUGCAAACUGCUUUCACCACACAGCACUGGUGUGCACCAAACCCUCCAUUUUUGUCUCUGGAAAGCUGGUUUUUCACUUAACAGAGCAGCACAGUGCCUGUUAUUCUCUUUAUUUUCUCUUUUUUUACAAUCAAAGUUAGUGCUGUUAAAUUUUGAAAAGCUUCACAGAUGUUUGAGCUCACUAAAGCCAGCAAAUACC